GAUGAACGCUAGCGGCAGACCUAAUACAUGCAAGUCGAACGGCAGCGCGGGUAGCAAUACCUGGCGGCGAGUGGCGCACGGGUGCGUAACACGUAUGCAACCUACCUUUAACUGGGGGAUAGCCUUCCGAAAGGAAGAUUAAUACCGCAUAAUAUAAUGGAGUGGCAUCACUUUAUUAUCAAACAAUAUGGGUUAAAGAUGGGCAUGCGUCCGAUUAGCUAGUUGGUACGGUAACGGCGUACCAAGGCGACGAUCGGUAGGGGAUCUGAGAGGAUGGCCCCCCACACUGGUACUGAGACACGGACCAGACUCCUACGGGAGGCAGCAGUAAGGAAUAUUGGUCAAUGGACGGAAGUCUGAACCAGCCAUGCCGCGUGCAGGAAGACGGUCCUCUGGAUUGUAAACUGCUUUUGUUAGGGAAGAAACUUCCGUACAUGUACGGGACUGACGGUACCUAAAGAAUAAGGAUCGGCUAACUCCGUGCCAGCCGCCGCCGUAACAC
rnacentral:rRNA from 1 species